GAUGAACGCUGGCGGCGUGCUUAACACAUGCAAGUCGAGCGAGAAGUUUUGAAAAGAUUCUUCGGAUGAAAUUUAAAAUGGAAAGCGGCGGACGGGUGAGUAACGCGUAGGCAACCUGCCCCAUACAAAGGGAUAGCAUUUGGAAACGAAUAUUAAUACCUUAUGAAACUUAACUAGUGCAUGCUAGGUAGGUCAAAGAUUUAUCAGUAUGGGAUGGGCCUGCGUCUGAUUAGCUAGUUGGUGAGGUAACGGCUCACCAAGGCGACGAUCAGUAGCCGACCUGAGAGGGUGAACGGCCACAUUGGAACUGAGACACGGUCCAAACUCCUACGGGAGACAGCAGUGGGGAAUAUUGCACAAUGGGGGAAACCCUGAUGCAGCAACGCCGCGUGAACGAUGAAGGCCUUUGGGUCGUAAAGUUCUGUUCUAGGUGAUGAAAACUGACAGUAACCUAGGAGAAAGCCCCGGCUAACUCCGUG
rnacentral:rRNA from 1 species